rnacentral:rRNA from 1 species
AUGCAGAGGUGCCUACUCAAGCUCUGGGGAAUGUUGCAAGCAAAGGAUGAAGAGAUAAGCAGGCUUAAAAUGGAUAUUGGAAAAGUGAACCUUAAGCUCGAGAAUCUUGUUGCAGCUGUGGAAAGAAGUAAUGUAAAUACUAUGAAGAUUGACAGGCAGAAAAAGCAGAUGGGUAUCUAUGAUACAUACGUCAAGCGCAUUCAUAGGUCUCUCACAAGUGCCAUUCAUAAUCUUAAGGACGACAAGGGUGAUAUUAAGCUGGACAGUGAUUUUCUGAAGGAGGAGGUGCAUAAACUGAAGGAGAAUACAAGCAAGAUGCAAAGCGUAAUCUGUGAUCUUUUGGGGCAAGGGUGUGCGAACACUGAUGACCUCCUGAUGAUCAAGUCAAUCCUAGAAGAAUGA